GGGGGUGCAGCUCAGUGGUAGAGUGUUGGCUCAGCAUGUACAAUACCCUGGGUUUGAUUCCCUAGCCCCCUCA
rnacentral:tRNA from 1 species